UGCCAGACUCCUACGGGAGGCAGCAGUGGGGGAUAUUGCACAAUGGGGGAAACCCUGAUGCAGCGACGCCGCGUGGGUGAAGAAGCGCCUCGGCGCGUAAAGCCCUGUCAGCAGGGAAGAAAAUGACGGUACCUGAAGAAGAAGCCCCGGCUAACUACGUGCCAGCAGCCGCGGUAAUACGUAGGGGGCAAGCGUUAUCCGGAUUUAUUGGGUUUAAAGGGUGCGUAGGCGGGCUGUUAAGUCAGCGGUCAAAUGUCGGGGCUCAACCCCGGCCUGCCGUUGAAACUGGCGGCCUCGAGUGGGCGAGAAGUAUGCGGAAUGCGUGGUGUAGCGGUGAAAUGCAUAGAUAUCACGCAGAACUCCGAUUGCGAAGGCAGCAUACCGGCGCCCUACUGACGCUGAGGCACGAAAGCGUGGGUAUCGAACAGGAUUAGAUACCCUAGUAGU
rnacentral:rRNA from 1 species